rnacentral:lncRNA from 1 species
AAGUGCUCAAUAGAUACCACUGAUUGAUUGAUCGAUUGAUUGAUCUGUCUUGCUGAAAUUAGGUCCAUCAUGGAUCUGAAGUGGACAAGUGCGAUUCUCCAGCCAACUGUAGGAUGCCCUUGACAGCACAGUCUAUCCUCGUUUCUGAUAGAGGCUUCUUAGGAGAUCUUUGCUACAGCACGUCGGUUGACUUAUUGGAAAGACAUUAAUAUUGAAUCGAUGAGUUAGUGAAUACCGGUAAAUUUCUAGCUGUAGUACAAAAGGAGACACUGCAGAGGAAAGAAUUGGUAUCAGGUAUAGGAACUCUCGGUG